CCCUUGUCCAAGACAUCCUAUACAACCUGCAUCUGCUACUGCAACCACAUCAUCACAGCAAGAGAUGGCAUCAGCUCUUCAUUUCAUCGUCCUCCUCUGUGGACUCUGGAUCGGAGCAAACGUGAUAAGUGCUCAUUACUCAGGUGGCUGCCCUUAUGGUUGGACUAAACAUGGCAGUCGCUGCUUCAGGUUCUUCAACACUCCGAAGCAGUGGGCUGAGGCAGAG